GUGCCAGCAGCCGCGGUAAUACGGAGGGAGCUAGCGUUGUUCGGAAUUACUGGGCGUAAAGCGCACGUAGGCGGCUUUGUAAGUUAGAGGUGAAAGCCUGGAGCUCAACUCCAGAAUUGCCUUUAAGACUGCAUCGCUUGAAUCCAGGAGAGGUGAGUGGAAUUCCGAGUGUAGAGGUGAAAUUCGUAGAUAUUCGGAAGAACACCAGUGGCGAAGGCGGCUCACUGGACUGGUAUUGACGCUGAGGUGCGAAAGCGUGGGGAGCAAACAGGAUUAGAUA
rnacentral:rRNA from 1 species